AUGACGACGAGCCAGGACGUGGUUGUUUCGGAGAUGGGCAUUGGGGCGGGUGGGGCGGCCAUGCCGGGCUCCGGCGCCGCGGGCCUCUUCGCGUGCCGCAGCGCCGCCAGCGCCGGAGCCAUGUCCAUGCGGCAGACGUACCGCGACCUCGCCGCCGCCGCCUCGCGCUCCGCGAACUGCACAUGGGCCGAGCUCGAGGCCAUGCGCGCCGCCUCGCCCACCCGCUCCCGCCCCGGCACCGACGUCGACGAGCUCACGGCCUGGAUGGUCAGUCCUGCUCAUCCCUCCUGCCUCCACGGCGCGCGUCGUUUUUUCACGGUGCAUGGCUGUUGCCUCCAGGCCGGUGGUGAUUCUAACCUUUCUUUGGUUCUCUUGUGCUCUGAGCAGAGGAAGCACCCGUCGGCGCUAGGCAAGUUCGAGCAAAUCGCCAGCGCGUCCAAGGGGAAGAAGAUCGUCAUGUUCCUGGACUACGACGGCACCCUCUCGCCCAUCGUCGCCAACCCCGACGCCGCCUACAUGAGCGACGCGAUGAGGGAGGCGGUGCGCGACGUUGCCAAGCACUUCCCGACGGCGAUCGUGAGCGGGCGGUGCCGCGACAAGGUGCACAACUUCGUCGGCCUCUCCGAGCUGUACUACGCCGGCAGCCACGGCAUGGACAUCAAGGGGCCAGGCUCCAAUCCGGAGUCUGUGCUGUGCCAACCUGCAAGCGAGUUCCUCCCCAUGAUCGAUGAGGUGUACAAGGUGCUUGUGGAAAAGACGAAGUCCACACCUGGAGCCAAGGUGGAGAACAACAAGUUCUGCCUGUCCGUCCACUUCAGAUGUGUGGAUGAAAAGAGAUGGAACUUCUUGGCUGAGCAGGUCAAGGCCGUGAUCAAGGACUACCCCAUGCUGAAGCUCACCCAAGGGAGGAAGGUCUUCGAGCUCCGGCCCAGCAUUAUGUGGGACAAGGGCAAGGCGCUGGAGUUCUUGCUUGAAUCGCUAGGAUUCGCCAGCUGCAGCGACGUCCUGCCGGUGUACAUCGGCGACGACCGCACCGACGAGGACGCCUUCAAGGUGCUGAGGAAGAGGGGCCAGGGCGUGGGGAUCCUGGUGUCCAAGUGCGCCAAGGAGACCAGCGCGUCCUACUCGCUGCAGGACCCGGCGGAGGUCAUGGAGUUCCUGCUCCGGCUGGUGGACUGGAAGCGGAGGUCGUCGGCGCCGCCCAUGGUCCGGCCGCGGGUGUAA
rnacentral:rRNA from 1 species